rnacentral:rRNA from 1 species
CAGUCGCCGCGGUAAAACGAAGGGGGCUAGCGUUGUUCGGAUUAACUGGGCGUAAAGGGUGCGUAGGCGGGCUUUUAAGUCAGGGGUGAAAUCCCAAGGCUCAACCUUGGAACUGCCUUUGAUACUGGAAGUCUUGAGUCCGGGAGAGGUGAGUGGAACUGCGAGUGUAGAGGUGAAAUUCGUAGAUAUUCGCAAGAACACCAGUGGCGAAGGCGGCUCACUGGCCCGGAACUGACGCUGAGGCACGAAAGCGUGGGGAGCAAACAGGAUUAGAUACCCCUGUAGUCCCUGUCUCUUAUAC